rnacentral:rRNA from 1 species
CGGUUGAUCCUGCCGGAGGUUACUGCUAUCGGUGUUUGCCUAAGCCAUGCGAGUCAAAUGUUCUUCGUGAACAUGGCAUACUGCUCAGUAACACGUGGAUAACCUGCCCUCAGGUCUGGCAUAACCCCGGGAAACUGGGGAUAAUUCCGGAUAACGCAUAUAUGCUGGAAUGCUUUAUGCGUCAAAGGUCCUCCGCCUGAGGAUGGGUCUGCGGCCUAUCAGGUAGUAGCGGGUGUAAUGUACCUGCUAGCCGACGACGGGUACGGGUUGUGAGAGCAAGAGCCCGGAGAUGGAUUCUGAGACAUGAAUCCAGGCCCUACGGGGCGCAGCAGGCGCGAAAACUUUACAAUGCGGGAAACCGUGAUAAGGGGACACCGAGUGCCAGCAACAUUUGCUGGCUGUCCACGUGUGUAAACUACACGUGUUAGCAAGGGCCGGGCAAGACCGGUGCCAGCCGCCGCGGUAACACCGGCGGCCCGAGUGGUGAUCGUUAUUAUUGGGUCUAAAGGGUCCGUAGCCGGUUUGGUCAGUCUUCCGGGAAAUCUGUCAGCUCAACUGAUAGGCUAUCGGGGGAUACUGCUAGACUUGGAACCGGGAGAGGUAAGAGGUACUACAGGGGUAGGAGUGAAAUCUUGUAAUCCCUGUGGGACCACCUGUGGCGAAGGCGUCUUACCAGAACGGGUUCGACGGUGAGGGACGAAAGCUGGGGGCACGAACCGGAUUAGAUACCCGGGUAGUCCCAGCCGUAAACGAUGCUCGCUAGGUGUCAUGCAUGGUGCGACCGUGUAUGGUGCCGUAGGGAAGCCGUGAAGCGAGCCACCUGGGAAGUACGGCCGCAAGGCUGAAACUUAAAGGAAUUGGCGGGGGAGCAC